rnacentral:misc_RNA from 1 species
UUGUUAAAAACAAUUUACACGGAAGAGCGUAUCAUCCAUACAAAUUUAGAAAGUUGCAAUAUACAGUAAGCCCAUUAUCCUUUGUUCAAAUCUGGACACAAGGUCUAAUAAAUAUAAGAAUUUUUAACUCCGAGAAUUUAACCGUUAGAUGGAAAGUUCCAUGGAGUAACCCGGAGUCAACAAACAACAAAUCCAACCCGUCCUUAUUAUGUAUCUAUGCCCAGAGAUAGGAGUAGUGGGACUAUUCUGUCGGCAGAGAAGGCAUAAUCAGCGUCCAUUUUUUGCCCAGAGAUAUGCUUCAGUCUUGAUGAAGGAGUAAAAGAGAAUGAGUUCAACGGAGACCCAGAAAUCAAGGAGGCAACAGAGGCCAGGUAUCCGCCCUGGUUUAGGCGUUAAGCAAGUGUCAAAAGCCCUGGUUAACCCUACCAAUUUAAUUGCGACAGAGUCAAUAAAGAGGAAAGCAGCCCUAACCUUGGAAGAAGUACAAAUCAAGAAAAAGUUUAAUAAGACCAUGCAGUCAAAAUAUCAGGGUGAAGCCCAAAUCCUAGAAGCACAGCAAACUCCAGUGUUGCAGUUACAGAAAGAAAAUAUUAAAACUGAGCAAUUAAAGAAAUCAAAGAUUGAAACUAACCACCUGGAACCAACAGAGGAGACCAGCAUGUUCACAUUUGGUCCAGAUGGUGCUGUUAAUAUCAGUCAUACAGAUUCCUGCCAAAACUGCAUAUGGAGUACAUGUCUCUGUACCCCUCAACCCUGCUGCUACAAUCAAUAUCCAACCAGUCAACGAUGGAAACCUGAAUGGAGCAGUUUCAGGCAUAUACAGACACAAGACACAACAGAAGGAUAAGUGUCUAACAAUUUUGAAUUGUAACUUAUCAGAGAAUUGCAUUGUUUUAAUGCCAGGGGAAGUUAUUGCACAUGGGUCAAUGUGCUUUGUCGAAAAAACAGAGAAAGCUGUAAUUAUUAACUCGGUCACACCUGGAAUUAAAAGUAGAAUGGUCACAGAUAAACUGUGGGCCCAUUAAAAGCUAGAAAAUAAUUUUAUUCUCAAACAAGUUCCAGAAAUUAGUAAAAAUUUGUACUCAAUGUUGAAUGAAUACCAAGAUGUUUUUACCAAUGACAGUUGUCAUGAGGGCAAAACAUCCUGGGAGACAUUCAAAAAUUGAGCUCCUGCCUUCUUCGAGACUGGUAAAACAGAGAGUGAGACCAUUAGCAUCCCCCUCCGUGAUAAGUUAAAAAAAGAAACUAUUGAAAUGGCUUCAUGAUGAAGUAAUUGAACCUUCUAAAUCUCCUUGGUCAUCACCUUUGGUGCCGGUCACAAAAAAGUCAGGUGCUGUAAGAUGGUGUGUAGAUUUCCGCCCAGUCAAUAAGGUCAUGGUGACCGACUCCUACCCCACCCCAUGUAUCAGCGAUAUAUUAGAAUUGCUUGGUUCGUCAAAGAUUUUUUCGACAUUAGACACAGCUAACACGUACAACAUAAUUUCAGUAGAAAAAAAGUCCCGUCCUUUAACUGCAUUUGCAACAGCCUUUGGCAGUUUGCCCUCAUGCCCUUUGGUUAAAAAAUGCAGGUGCAGCAUAUUGUCUCUUAGUACAGGGUUUAGCUGAUAUGUUGGGUGAGGAAGGAGUCCUUGCUUACCUAGAUGAUUUGUUAAUACAUACUAAUCACCCUGAAACUCAUCUUAAAUUGCUUAAAUUAGUUUUUCAGGCACACAGAGAAGCUGGAAUUAAAUUAAGUGCGGAUAAAACAUUUUUGUUUAGGCAGGAAGUCAAAUACUUGGGACAUUUAAUCUCGGAGAAUGGGAUAAAUUAGUGCCAUCUUAUGUAAAUAAAAUUACUUGGCAUUUGGCAGGUGACAAUGGCAUAGAAGGCAGAGGACCCCCUCUUAUAGGAUCCAUACAAGGUCAGAAAGGGCGAGAUGUUGGUCAGGCUGGUGAACCCGGAGAUAUGUGGCGGAGACAAGGCAGAGGACAGACCAGGAGAACAGAGACACCCUCACCCUCCAUCAUGUUCAUGGGAUGAUUAGGGACAGAACAUAUUCCCGGUCGGUAAUCCUCUAGGAUCAGGUCAUAAACCAUGACAAGGAGAUUCAAGAAACAAUGGAAUAUAUUUUUCUCCAAAGGGAAAUUAGUUCCCAGAAGUUAAAAUCCCAACAAGGAAAACAAGAUUUAAACAAGGAUCAGGGAUAUUUUUUGACCUGGAGAUUCAAGAAACAAUGAAAAAUGUAUUUGUCUCCAAGGGGGAAAUAUUAUUAAAAGUUAAAACCUAUGGGGAGAACAAGGGUUAACACAAGAGUAGAAAAUUGUCUUCAAAGAUCACAGCCGCUGAAUGUAAUCUUGACAUUGUUGAACAGACCAAUCAUGUUGUGAGGGCAGACACCAUUCCACCCUGAGGGAUGCCCAUGAUCAUGAUGGAUUCUAUCAUCAAGGUUUCCAUGAUGAUAGAAUCAGGGGUGGGUGUAAACCAAUCAUCCUUUGUACAAAUCCUGACACGAGGUCUAUAAAUAUAAGAAAGUUGUACUGAA